UCCUCCCCAGGCGUCUGCCUUCCUUGGCUUGGCGCCCUGCCUGGCUCCCUGCCCAAACCAGCGCACCUGGGGUGGCCAGCCCACUUCCCGCUCCGCUUUCUGUCCAGGUGGUUGUGGGCAGCAUCUUCACGGGGGGAAAGGGGGGGUGGAACCUGACUUUGUCCCUUCCCCGCACUGGGGACCAGGAGGAGAGGGGGUUCCGGCCCCAGGUAGUUUUAGUGGGGGAGGGAGAGCUAGGGCACAGUGCGGCAGGGAAGCCGUGUGUCGAGCGCAGGCAUGUUCUUGCUUGCCCUUCCCAGCCCGCCAGUCGUGGCUGGCAGUCAGUGAGGGAGCAGCAAUAAGCACCUGGCACGCAGGGCCCCCCGCUAAACUGCUGGGUACACAGUGUCAAGUGGCUCGGCUUGUGGGAGGCAGCCUGCUCUGCCCGCCUGCUUAGCAGUUCCAGCUUCCAGAAGCAGCACCCCACCUCCCAGGAGGCUCACCGGGUAGAGCCCAGGCCAGGACCGGCAUGGAGAGGACAGAGCCACUGGGCCAGCUCCCUUCGUGGACGCCAGCAGGCUGGAGCCCAGUGCAAAGGACCUGGCCGAGGCGCAGCAGGAGCUGCGGUGGGUGGAGCUGAGCUCCGAGGCCCCUGGAGCCAGGGGAGAGAGGCCCGGGGCCCCCCAGGGCUGGGGCCACCUGCACCAGGCGGUGUGGUGCGGUUCCCCAGGCCUGGUGAUGCAGCUGCUGCGGCAAGGGGCCCGCGUGGACGAGAGGUGAGCCCGGGUCCCCACUUCAGGGAGGGGUUCCCGGGGGCGCCCCUCCGGGCUGCUGGGGUCCGGUCGGGCCCCGCUCCCAGGUCCACGCACGCCCACGCCCGACGCCGCGCUCCUCCGCAGGGACGGCGCGGGCCGCAC
rnacentral:lncRNA from 1 species